AUAUUUUGUAUUCUAAUAGACUUUUCUUAUUUUUAUCAAGAUAAGGACAAAUAGGAGAAAAAGAAACUUAGCUUAAAGAUAAACCAAUCCCAGUACUUCCAAUUUUUUUCCCCUUUGUUUUGUUUUUGUUUUUUUUUCUUGCUGACAUUUUUUUUUCUCUGUUUCUUUCUCUAAACACAGAGGGAUAUUUGUCAUUGCAGUGAUAAAACUGUGAGCAGCUUGGAGUUCAGUCAUGCCAGGGAGAGAAUAUGAUACUUUACACGAACACGUCAACGUUUGGCAGCAAAAAGAAAACCAGGUGAGGAUAAUAUUCCCAGCCUCAAGAGAUCAUAUUCUUUGGAAAAAUGAUAGGAGAAAAAAACAUCAGGGCUAUUAUCUUCUGUACUUAGAGGAAGACUGACGGAGAAAAUGCAGUCACGAUUCGGUGAAAAAAUGGCUACGAAGGCUCUUCUGUCUGCUCUGCCUUCAUUUUUACUUGGGCACCGCUUUGUCAAGGCAAGGGUUAUGGAAAUAAUCAGUGGAUUCACAACAAGAACAGAAGUGCUAAUGUGGUACCGAGUCCCCAAGUAAAUAAACAAUUUCCAGACAAAAUCCUUUCAACAGCAUUGUAUGUCUGUGUUAGCGCUGUGUUUCCUCCAGGAGUUACGUGGUCAGCAGCACUCCGGUUGCAGAGGAGGUCACUCACUUCCUACAGCUCUGUGCUAAAGACAGAAGGGCUUUUUGGUAGAGUAUACAACUCAGGGCUUCCAGGGAGCCACAGAAGAUGCAUUUUGUGGCACAAUUAGAGACAAAAAUGAGUAAAAAAGAAAAUCAUGGUGAGAGUGAAGGAGGAUAAAAGACAUGAAGUAAAGGCUAGUUUUGCCAGCUUCAGCAGCCAUUAGCUAAUCAGAGAUAUAAACACGUUUGUUGUUUAUCACCCAGCCAUAUAGGUACUGUAUUUUGUUACGUGAAAACAAGACCUCUGAUACUUUAUAUACUGCAGAUUAACAGGAAAGAGCUAACAGGAAAAAAAAAAAAAGACACCAUCACAAAUAGUCCUUUGCUUAUUUCAAAUAUACAGCACCUCUGCAGAAAAUACUGAUUUCAUACAUGUUGAGAAUUCAAUGUGGGAACAGGAAAUAUUUACUUUUCUUGUUCAGAGGCAAUGGAACAGCCAUUCUCCUGAAUUUUUUUUUCUUUUUUUUUCUUUCUUUCUUUAUUUUUUAUCAAAUAUAUGGAAAACCCCAUGGGGCUCCUUGAUUUCAUGUGAUUGCUACUAAUUAAGAGAUGUAGAAAGCUUGAAAUAAUCAGUUCUGAUAGGAUUUUUACCACAGCAGUUUGAAACAGCUUGCAAGAAUUGUGCAAUAUGUGUGUUAAGUUCAAUCAGGACCAACACUGGGGUCUGCUUUUUAAUGUCCCCUCUGUCCAUGGCUUACUUAAGCUUCUUAUCUCUUGUUGUGGUUCUUUUUG
ensembl:lncRNA